rnacentral:lncRNA from 1 species
CUGAGUAACCGCGUGGAGCAGAGACCACGUUACACAAGUGACAGGAGCGAGCACCAAACCGGCCGGGUUAAGCCUCUGAGGGCCUGGGGCCGUCCGCUGUGGCAGCGGGCUCACAGCUCAGCAGUAUCAUUGUCGCUCCUAUUCUGAUUUUCACAGAGAAGGAAACCAAGGCCACAGAGCCCUAAGUGGCAGAAACAAGAUGCAAGUUCAGACUGCGACUCCGACACGCAUCCUCUUUCAGUGACAGCCUUUUGUUGCUUAAUAAGAUCAUUCCUCUCCUCUUAGCGGCCUUGUCCCAAAAAACUCCUGGCCCUCACUGUCCCCAGGAUAAGCGAGUGACUGAUGCAGGAUGAGAAGAGAGAAGCCCACACGGCACGCUGAGCCUGGACAAGGACCCAAAGCCGGGAGGAGAGGCUGGAGCGCAGCUCAGGGAUGUCCUUCCUGGGCCCUCGGGCUCACAGGAGGUCUCGAUACAAGAGGAGCUGUGACAUAGUGGACCAGAGCACAGGACGGGCAUCAGGUCAGCCCAGGGUCAAACCCUCGUCCCACCGUUUUCUCUCUCGAUUUCUCCCAGCCUUCCUCUCUAUUCUGUAAAAGGGGGACAACAUCUGAACCUGCCUUGAGGGUGGCGGCAAGAUGAAGCAUUGCUGGCUGCUGGCGGAGGAUGGUAUGCUCUCCCAAAACGUGUGUCACCGUGAAGACGGUGCCUGGGUGGCUGCAAGGACCAGCCUCGCCGGAGGGAGCCGAGGCAGAGGAGGCCGCCCAGCCAGGACGCUGACAAAGCCAAGACUGCAGAGCUGGCCCGGCCCACGCCCCUGACACAGACCCAGGGGCAGGGCACAGAGGGAGGCAGGGCGGCCGGACGCAAGGCGACGUCGCAGAGGAGCCAGGAGGAGGGGGAAUUUCCUGGAUCAACCCACAGUGUCCUAACCCCAACUCCUGAUGGACUUCUGCUUCUAGAAAGCGGCCUGGAAGUCUCAUCGAGAGACUGCCCUUUCGGCCUGGAGCUGGGAAAAGACGCCCCGACGAUCGGUUGUGUGAAUGGAUUUGGGGACAGUGGGGAAACAAGCAGACGGAGUGUUCACCAUGUGAAAUGUUGCUGAAUCAGAGAUCCUGGAGCUCGCCUGGGAGCAGUCUGAGGCCACACACACACACGAAACGCCAAGUCCAAACAGGGCCAUCAGCAGCCCUCAGGGCCUGGAUCUCCUCUUCUCUUCUGGGCAGGUUGGUGUGGGUGGGGGGCAGAGCAGAGGGGUCCCACACAGGAGCUGCCAGCCCUCUGGGGGCCCCGUGCCCACACCCAGGUUCCAAGGGCCGGGCUGUUCCGGGCAGGCUUCCCUCCGCACAAAAACAAGAGUCACUCAAAACAAAACAAAACAAAAAACUCCUUUUGUUUUCUG